rnacentral:lncRNA from 1 species
AAAGUCUGACUAUUACACUUCCAGAUGAAGACUCCCCACGGAGGAUAGAAGUCUAUGGAUUUUUAACUUGUCUGCAAUUGCCCUUCCUGCCUGCCUGCUUGUCAUUUGUAGGUUUGGGGUUUUUUUAGUUUAGUUUUUUUUUUUUUUUUUAUGCAACUGAUAGUUUGUUUACAGAUUCUAAGUCAAAGCAAUGCAGAAUUCUGUUGGAUUUACUUUCAAUAGAUCUAAAACUGAUCUCAUCUCAUUAUUAAUAUCUUUUUCUAGGUAUGACUUAGACCUGCUAUUCUAUUCCAGUGAUUAUUUCAGGAGUGUGAAUGUGAAUCUGCCCAAGCCAUAGGGUCAAGAUCCAAUUUAGUUUCUUCCAGAUGGGUCACCACCUGGGAUAUAGCCAACCAGUAUCUCCAAGUGUAUCUCCUUGGUGAUGGUUCAAUAAUAAUUCAUGUACUGGCUUCCCCAGAUAAUGGUAUUUUCCCUCUUCAGCCUAUAUCCCUAUUUCAUGGAUUUUUUGGAAACCUAAUCACUGCUAACAAUUACCCCUCCCCACCUUAUUUAUAAAGCAUACAUCAUUUCUGUUUUGGAAACUUCAGUUUUAAAAUGCUGCUACACAGAGUGUCUACUAUCUAGAACAUCAGACUAGAAUAUGCUUUUGGGAAAACUGGUCUCGUCUACUCCAGGAAGAUAUUCUUAUCCUGUCACUAUAUGCAAGCAAACAAAUGCAAGCAAAUGUUUAUGGGAAAUACACUAAAAGUCUAUCUGCAUGACACCAAGAAAUCUAUUUUAACUGACUUUUCAUCCUGGAUUAAAUAUUAAUCUUAAUCUUAAAAUCGUAUGGAUAGAAGCACCAGAGUGACCCAACCUCAAAUCACACAGGCAUAUGUGCAGGUGCAUACAAACAUAUAUAUACAUGUACAUAAAUUACUUAACAGAAGGGAUUGGACUAUAUUAGCUUUUUCAUUAGGGAAAGGAACUGAUAUCAUUGAGCAUCUACUAUGUCUCAGCCUUACUGAUAGGUACGCAAACCACAUUAUCUUCAUCACAGUCUCACUACAGCUGUGAUUUCCCUGAUGAUAAAUCCAAGGAUCAGGGAUCAGGGAUCAAUGCAGCUUCUCUAAAUUGUGUAGAUAUUAAUAAGAGAAAAUGUAUCUUUCUUUUUUGUUUCCCUUUUUUUAAGCCAGCAUGCUGAUGGCAACUUGUGACCUGAUGGCCUAAAUAACUAAAAAAUAUAAAUAUUCUGCUGAGUGGUAAUAUUAGACAUUGAAAAAAUUACAGUUAAUUUUACAUGUCAUACAUGGAACACAAUAUGCUCUUCUCACCAUUGGAAAUUUAAUUUAAGGGCUCAGCUUUUCCAUUUCCACUUUUAAGGAGUUAUUUGCUAAUAACCUGUUAGUUUUAGACCACGUGGGAAAUUCGAGGGAGCAUAGUUCAUAGUGUUUCAACUCCAAAGCAAAUGCCAUUAUGAAAUUAAAUGUUCACAUGCAAGAUCCAAUAGAUAGUUGGGUUUACACAGAGGAGAUAUGGCUUUCUAAAGUAUUAUUUAUCACACUACUAAAUCACAAAGUAUUUCCUUAAAUCAUCAAAAUUUAAUACUCCAUCAAAUGAAAAAUUAAAAACUUGAAAAAGUUGCUGAUGGAGGACAGUAAUAUUAAGGGUCUCCUUUAAUAAAAUCCUUUGGGUUAUUUUAUUACUUCCAAUUCAAUUAAUUUCAGAGUGUCUUUGGCUAGAUCUUGCACCUGAGGUAAUUAGGUAAAGGUCACAGAUCACAAAUAAAACAAGCAAAUAUAAAUUACCUCUUAAGACUUCUUCCAUCAUUAUUGUGAGUGUAUUUCUAGAGCUUCACUCCAACACAAAUAUGCUGAAGAGAAAUGAGAAAAGUCCAAACCAUAUUCAUUCUUAAAGAAGCUAAGUACACAGAACAAUACACUUUGAAAAUAUUCCAAAACAAAUGGCUGGUUUGAGCAAAACAACUGGUGAAGUAAAAGGAAAACUCUAACCAUAAGGCUUAGUGUAACUGAAUCUUAAACUCCUGUCAUUUUCAGAAGAAUGUGUUGGAAUACUAUGGGCAGUAUGUCUUAGUAAAGCUGGGUCCAUACAAUUUUGGUCUGCUCUUAAAGAUUAAAAGAGUUAUCUCAUUCUACACUAUGUUCAAUCUGCAAACUUGAUAGAAGAGAGACAAUAUUAACUUUUUGGAAGAAAAGAAGAUUUUAAAUUGUCCCCUUAUGAUCCUGUGAAUUACAUAUGUACUAUAUUCAACAUUAUUUUUGCCUCUCAACUACAACUCAGAAAAGUGUUGGAAUAUUCAUAUAUAGAGUAAGGAAACUAGAUGUGAAAAAGAGCAUCCAGAAACAACUGGUCAAUCCCAGGUUCAAAGGAAACUUUUUUCAAAUGCUUGGAAUCACUCUUGGAAAAAGCAGAGGAUGAAAACCUCAAGCAAUUUGUUUUCUGUUUAUCUAUCAAAACCAAGACUUGGCUGAGGGAAUGUAUUUAGAAGAAUAUUCAUGAAGAAGUCUUAAAGAGCUCUGUAAUAACAAAUACAUUGUUCUCUCCUCCCCUCCUCCUUUCUCUCACUCCUCCUCCUUAUCAAACUCUUAUCUCUCCUAUAAAACAUGACUUUCCUUAGAGCAGGCAAUUUCAUCUGACUUCAUUCAAGACUAAACCUGGACAUGAACUCUCUUAAGGAAAAGUGUAAAUAUUCCUUCAAAUAUAUUUAUAUGUAAGAAAAUAUUUUGUUCUGAAACAUUUUCAUAUUUUCAUAAAAUCAUGUCUCAAGUAUGGAAAAAUGUAUACUUCUGACAUUUCUAUUUAACUGAAGUCCCUGUUUUCAUGGUGGGGCUCAGGUGUAGAGUUGAGCCACUCGAUGUGGCCUUUUCCUCACAGAAACAAGCAGAGGUUUUGCAUCUCAGAGCUUCAGUGAGACCCCAAUAGAAGAACACAUCAUAUGUGAAAAACUACUACAGAAAUGUGUUUAAGGGAACAAAAGACUCUUCCCAUUUCUAAAGAUCUCACAGUCCAAUGAGGACAAACAAAACCAAUGUGGCACCAUCUCAAGAUACAACUGUUGGCAAUAUUUAGAACAUGAAUUAGAGACGUCAAAAAUGUUUUAAAGAAGCAAUUGUUAAAAUAAUUUAUGUGUUGUGAUUCUAUUUUGUGAACUAUAAUUAGAAAUAGCAAUUGUUCAUUUCACUGAUUACACAGGGGGAAAAGGUCAGAUAAGGCCCUGUAAUAUUUUUUUUAUAUGUUUGGUCUGUAAGUAUAAUUUCAAAUUACUCAGCAGAAAAGCUCAUUUACAAAGUUGCACACUAGGGAAUAGUCUUGUUGCUGAGAUGGUUAGCACCAACAGGCUAUGCUGACAUAAACCAAAUUUUGGUGGUUCGAAUUUUGAAAUUCAAAUAAUCUCUUUUGAAAAGAGUAGCCGUGAAUGCUUGUAUACAAUAUUGUUAGGCCUGUUUACCAUCUUCUACACCAAAUGCAUUCAUGGGAAGUCCAAUCUGGGGUGAUUGAUUUAUGUUCUAGAAACAUGGUCUAGAAGAAUAGAGGGAUUCAGUGAAAUGGUGCGGCUGGGACAGCGCAUUGUCAGAACUGUCAAAUCUGGAUUCAGCAAGAUUAAAAAAAAAAAAGACAAUUUUGUGGCCAAUAAAGAGCAAAUUCACAUGAUCACCUGUAUGUCCUCAUGGAAGAACAUCUGCAUCAAGUCCAUACCACAGGCUCUCAACUAGAAUAAUGGAAAUGAAAGCACUUUGAAAAUUAUAAAAGAAGGAUAGGAUAAGCAGUGGAGUUAGCUAGAGCUCCUGCAAACUUAUUUGAGCCCCAAAGCAACACUCUUUAGUGAUUAUUUUGUUCCUCUCAGAAUAAUGGACUUAACUUGUAUGCAUAUGACUGUUCUCUGAAUUGCAGCAAAGGGAAUAUAAACUUUCUCAAGAAUGUUAUGGACUGAUGCUGAUAGACAGAGACUUUCCAAAAAAGAAAAACAGAUACAACAUGGUAUCAGAAUAAGAAUCUACCUAACUAGAGGUCUGAAUUUAGAAGUCAGUAAGAACAUUCUCUAUAUUCCUAGAAUGGCAUUAAAUUCUCUAGGAAAGAAGCCAAGUGUUAACACCUUAGCCAGGAAUAAUAAACCAGUCCCACUUUGGUACAUAUAAGAUGACCUGGAAGCUUAUUUUAAAAUACACUUUAUUUGGCCCUGCCCCAAGAGAUUCUCACUUAUUAUGGGAUUUUGAUGCCUUAGUCCUUGACCACACCUUGAAAACUACUGAGUCCUGAUCCCUCACUAGGACCUUUAAAGUCAUUAUUUACUUCACAAAUCGUAAUAAGCAACUAUAUGGAAAACUUCUUGUGGGUAAGCCUAUCUAAUCUUUGUACUCCACAAAUUAUUUAAACUUGGAUAAUGCCCCUAGGUAUCUGUUAAACUAAUGACCAAUCCCAAACUAAGGAAUAUAUCUUAAAUCUUCUGGUGAUGCCCAAUUUACCUAUAGAUCUGUCCUCACAAUAAGAUGACUAGUUCUAUUUGGGGUUUGGGUUUCUUUGUUUUUAAACACUUUUUCAGCUCAGUGAAAGGCACUGCAUUAAGUGUACUGGAUCAUAGAAUUAUCCCUUAUAUAUACAUAAUGCUUGAAAUUUCAAAAACAAGUCCACAGCCUAAUUUAAUAAUGAAAAAUAAAGGAGACCAACAUAUUCUUUCUGCCCUCUGGAGAUUAUAAUUUAGUGACAACAUACUAACAGAGAAACAUAUAAGAAAUAUAGAAUACAUAAUUGGAAGCCAAGUUGUAUGAUUUCAGACUACAAAUAACUGAGUGCUACAGAGAAAAGGAGGCAUUAAUGGGACCUGGAGUAAUCAAGGAGGACUUUGGAGGAAAAUUAGGACUUCUUUCAAGGAAGCAUUAGAUUCAGAUAUUUAAAGGAAAAACAAUACAUGUGGGAGAAAUAAGCUGAGUGGGGAUAGGGAGACACAAUAGAUCUUAGAGAAAUCUUCUGGACAUUAAGGAUAGCUACCCAAAACAUGUCCAUUUUAUGAGGGAUUAAUGAAGAAAGACAGCUAGUCCUUUAAUAUUUGCCACUACAAUAAAGCCCCAAGUAAGGGAAAAGUGAAUGAAGUCAAUUUAUAUCUGAUGAGAAAAUAUUCCACCCAUAUACUAUGAAUAUAAAGAGAAAAACAGCUUCUAGGUUAGCAUGUUUGUUUUCUAAUCUUUGUGAAUUUCAUUUAUUAUCUAUAGAAAAUAUACUACACUAUUUGUCUUAUAGGUGUUAUAAUUCUAAAAGUGUUCUUAUAGUCUUGAUUUUCCAAGUGAAAAAAUAUAUGUGUAUACACAUAUAUACAAAAUAUAUAUAUAUGUCUUUGUUUCUAUAUUAUAUUGUCACAAUAUAUUUAAAAGUAUUUAUACCUGUAUAUAUUAUUCAGGGGUCCUUCACAACUCUGGACUUAUCCAAUUAUGCUAAAUAUAGAAAUCAGAGCUAGCUCAGGGACCUAGGCCCUUCAUGAACUUAAACUUUAAGAUGAAAUCUAAAACUGAAGAGCAUGUAGUGUUUAGCUUCAGAUUACUUCUGACAACUUCAUAGACUUGCAUGUUGCUUAUGAUGUGCUCCUGAAUGCAUUGGCUUCCUUCUUAUCAGUUUUACAAAGUUGUGUGCUGACUCGCUUCAUCCCUUGGGAAUUCACUGUUGUGUCCUUGUGGGACAAAGACUCUUCUAUAAGAAAGUGCAGUAUUAUGUGUGCUGCUGUGGAAAACUAUGUGUCUGUUCCAAUAUGUGUACUGUGAGCAAUAA